rnacentral:lncRNA from 1 species
GAAUGCUGUCCUCAGGCAUGGAACUGUUUGCACCACCAUGUCCACUGUUUGCAUCACAAAGACUACUGAACCAUGUCCCAAGACUGGAUCCCUACAGGCACAGUCAUGUCCAUGCUUCUUCCAGAGUAAAACAUUCCCUCAGGAAGAUAUUGCUUUCAGAUGUGACCUCAUCUACAGAGUGCAAAGACGGAUCUCAGUAAGAUGGGUUCUGAACUUCCUGAUGAAAAUAAGCAGCCCGUGGGUGAAAACCAGCAUGUUGACAGUUUUCAGAUAUCACCUGUGCCCUCUGCGACUGAGAUGGGACAGAAAGAUGUUGAAGGCUUCACUUCUACAACGGGCAAGAAAGAACCAGAGUGUAAGACAGAAGAGACUGCUCUAUCCCAUGAAAAUAAACUUCUCAAGCGUCAACAGGUUCCAUGUCCAGAGGACAUAAAUAACUUGAAGGCAUGUUUGCAGGAGUCAUUGAGAAGGUUAGAGGAAAAGACAAAGGACUUUAUAAAGGCAAAAAGCAAAAUAUUGGAAGGAAGAGAAUUAGUCAUAUCACAGGAGAAAGUCUUAGAGGGCAUGCAGAUAAAAAUAAAGCACUUAUACAAGCAACUCAAGCACCCCGAACUAAUUGGGUCCCAAGAAAGAAAGGAGGUCGAUGACAGCCCAAGCUCUCUCGUUCAGAAGAUAGCCGUGGUGAAACUGACCCAGAAAUCAAUGACCGACUACCUAAAAAUAUUCCGUUUCUAUCUUGGGAAAUGUGUGUGGCUGCUUGUCAAACACCUGCUGCGCUGUGGCUGCUCAUGCUUAACACUUCUAUUGGUUUAUAAACACCUACCUGAUGCUAUCUGGACAUAUCAGCUACUGGACAGUAUCUGCCAUCAGCCGUGGACACACUAACCCUAGAAGAUUUUGAAGACUCCAGACUGGAUUUCUGUAGGGUUACUGUAUUGCUUCUGGGAAGACCUGCACUUUAAAAUAAAGCAUUCAUGAAUGCUAAAAGCA